UGAACGCUGGCGGUAGGUUUUAAACAUGCAAGUCGAGCGGUAACAGACAUUUUGAUUCAGCUUGCUGAAUCUCGUGCUGACGAGCGGCGAACGGGUGAGUAACACGUAGGAAUCUACCCAGUAGCGGGGGAUAGCCCGAGGAAACUCGGAUUAAUACCGCAUACGCCCUACGGGGGAAAGGGGGCAUCUUUGAUGCUCUCACUAUUGGAUGAGCCUGCGUAAGAUUAGCUUGUUGGUAGGGUAAAGGCCUACCAAGGCGACGAUCUUUAGCUGGUCUGAGAGGACGAUCAGCCACAUUGGGACUGAGACACGGCCCAGACGUCUACGGACGGCAGCAGUUAAGAAUAUUGGACAAUGAGGGAAACCUUGAUCCAGCCAUACCGCGUGUGUGAAGAAGGCCUUAGGGUUGUAAAGCACUUUAAGCGAAGAAGAAGAAAAGUAAAUUAAUACCUUACUUUUUUGACGUUACUCGCAGAAUAAGUACCGGCUAACUCCGUGCCAGCAGCCGCGGUAAUACGGAGGGUACAAGCGUUAAUCGGAAUUACUGGGCGUAAAGCGCGCGUAGGCGGUUUAGCAAGUUGGAUGUGAAAGCCCUGGGCUCAACCUAGGAACUGCAUUCAAAACUACUAAGCUAGAGUACGAGAGAGGGAAGUAGAAUUUCUGGUGUAGCGGUGAAAUGCGUAGAUAUCAGAAGGAAUACCGAUGGCGAAGGCAGCUUCCUGGCUCGUUACUGACGCUCAGGUGCGAAAGCGUGGGUAGCAAACAGGAUUAGAUACCCUGGUAGUCCACGCCGUAAACGAUGAGAACUAGCCGUUGGAUAGAAUUGACUAUUCAGUGGCGCAGCUAACGCAUUAAGUUCUCCGCCUGGGGAGUACGGCCGCAAGGCUAAAACUCAAAUGAAUUGACGGGGGCCCGCACAAGCGGUGGAGCAUGUGGUUUAAUUCGAUGCAACGCGAAAAACCUUACCUACCCUUGAAAUCCAGUGAAGUUUUUAGAGAUAAAAAUGUGCCUUCGGGAACACUGUGACAGGUGUUGCAUGGCUGUCGUCAGCUCGUGUCGUGAGAUGUAUGGUUAAGUCCAGUAACGAGCGCAACCCCUAUCCCUAUUUGCCAGCACUUCGGGUGGGAACUAUAGGGAGACUGCCGGUCAUAAACCGGAGGAAGGCGGGGACGAGGUCAAGUCAUCAUGGCCCUUAUGGGUAGGGCUACAAACGUGCUACAAUGGGUGGUACAGAGGGUCGCCAAAGCGCAAGCUGGAGCCAAACCCUUAAAACCAUUCUUAGUCCGGAUUGGAGUCUGCAACUCGACUCCAUGAAGUCGGAAUCGCUAGUAAUCGCGAAUCAGAAUGUCGCGGUGAAUACGUUCUCGGGCCUUGUACACACCGCCCGUCACAUCAUGGAAGUGGGUUGCACCAGAAGUAGCUUGUUUAACCUUCGGGAAAACGGUUACCACGGUGUGAUUCAUGACUGGGAUGAAGUCGUAACAAGGUA
rnacentral:rRNA from 1 species